rnacentral:rRNA from 1 species
GACGAACGCUGGCGGCGUGCCUAAUACAUGCAAGUCGAACGCUUCUUUCCUCCCGAGUGCUUGCACUCCAUUGGAAAGAGGAGUGGCGGACGGGUGAGUAACACGUGGGUAACCUACCCAUCAGAGGGGGAUGACACUUGGAAACAGGUGCUAAUACCGCAUAACAGUUUAUGCCGCAUGGCAUAAGAGUGAAAGGCGCUUUCGGGUGUCGCUGAUGGAUGGACCCGCGGUGCAUUAGCUAGUUGGUGAGGUAACGGCUCACCAAGGCCACGAUGCAUAGCCGACCUGAGAGGGUGAUCGGCCACACUGGGACUGAGACACGGCCCAGACUCCUACGGGAGGCAGCAGUAGGGAAUCUUCGGCAAUGGACGAAAGUCUGGCCGAGCAACGCCGCGUGAGUGAAGAAGGUUUUCGGAUCGUAAAACUCUGUUGUUAGAGAAGAACAAGGACGUUAGUAACUGAACGUCCCCUGACGGUAUCUAACCAGAAAGCCACGGCUAACUACGUG